GGGCCCGGGAAAGCCUGUUUAGGCUACCCCAUUUAGGCGAGGAAAAGUUAUUUAUUUUCUUUUCCUUUUUAUUUGUUUUUCUUUUCUCUUUUAUUCCUCUCCCCGACGCCGUUCAUUUCUUCUCCCCCGACGCCGAGCCGCACCCUCUCCUUGCCCUAACCGCCGGCCGCGGUGCUUUUCUCCUCUUCUCCCCUCUCCUUCGCCGAAGCCAGGCCGCCGACGACGAGAGCCACCCUAGCCGCCAGCCACCGAGACCCUCCUCUUCCUAUCCUCUAGCCGAAGCGACACCACUGUUCUUCUUCUUCUUCUCUACCUAGCACCGGCCGUGAUUUUUCUCUGCCGAUGAUGCCACCCGAGCCUUCCCGGCGAAGUUGCCACAGCCGACGGCGAGCCCUAGUUCUUCACCGUGCCUUAGUCCUCACCACCGGAUCUUAUUUUUUUCGCCAUCAGAAGCCGGCAGAGACGAAGAAGUGUAUCAAGAUGCGACAUUAGGUUGUUGAAGUAAAUUGGUUGUGGAAUUUUCUUCCGGCAGCAACCAUCUGUGGUUGAGAAUUGAACAGAGGAAGAAUUCCAAGAGGUGAGGUUCUGUGCACUGGGGUAUUCGGGUGGUGGACAACAUGUUUGAACAGGGCAGAGAGGUAAAUUCCAGUAGGGUUUCUUUGCCGGCAGCACUUCAACCAGUAACCCUAUUGGCUGUGAACUUGAGGACCUGGUCGCGAGACGAGUAUCUCGAUAUCGGAUUGGACCUUUCUAUUUUCGGAGGCGG